rnacentral:misc_RNA from 1 species
GAUGAAGAACGCAGCGAAAUGCGAUAAGUAAUGUGAAUAGCAGAAUUCAGUGAAUCAUCGAAUCUUUGAACGCACCUUGCGCCCUUUGGCUAUUCCGAAGGGCAUGCCUGUUUGAGUAUCGUGAACACCUCAACUCUCAUGGUUUGCCAUGAUGAGCUUGGACUUUGGGGGUUUUGCUGGCCUUUGGUCGGCUCCUCUCAAACGGAUCAGCUUUCCAGUGUUUGGUGGCGUCACGGGUGUGAUAACUAUCUACGCCUGUGGUUUUCUGCCAGAUAACCUUCAGCGAUGGAGGUUCGCUGGGGCUCAUAAAUGUCUCUCUUCAGUGGAGACAGCUUUUUGGACGUUUGAUCUCAAAUCAGGUAGGACUACCCGCUGAACUUAAGCAUAUCAAUAAGCGGAGGA